ACAAUUGUUUUGGAAACUACUGUAGCUUUGUAUGAAAUUCAAGCGCUUGUUGGGCUUAAAAUAAUAGAUUUGUGAAAUAAAAUUCAACGAUAUAAUUGAAAUUAUUCAGUCAUUGUAUUGACGGCAAAAACAACGGAACUACACGAAAUUAUGCGAAUCAAGCACAUGUUACUGACGUAGUACACAGGAUUAUUACGUAGAACACAGGUUUAUUGUGCGCGCAAUAUUCAAAGACGGCAGACACUUCGUCUCAUAUCAACAGUGAACUGAUAUCGUCUCCCCAAUAAAGACAUUCAACGAGGAAGGUGAAAUUGCUCAAGCAAAUUAUCAGAAGAAGACCUUCAAAGCUGCAAUCGGUGAAAUUCACUUUAAGAAUUGGUACCACAAGGCCACAAAGGGAGGAGUUCAACUAACUUGUGGAUGAUGUUCAAAGCUGAGGAGAGUGAGAGCUUAAAUCUAUAAAACGGGUCAAAAAAUUUUGAUAUAGAAACUGUCAUAAAUUCUUCAGUUAAUUGAAAGAGGUCAAGUUGUACAAAAUGCCAUGGAGCUAAAUACACAUGGAGAAAAAACUGUGAUGUCACACAGUUAAAUUCAGUAUUGGCAAAAUUGUGUUCUUAUAAGUUAUCAUAUGUUGCGGGAUUUUCAAAGAUUUGAUGCAUCCUGGGUAAAAAUAGCCAAAACACCGUCAUAUUGAAUUCCCGGAGGAAGAUGAAACAUUUUUUUGCUUAAAUAAGAAGCAAUAGUUAUUUAUUGUAAAAGGUACUAUACACACUUUUCUAUACAAAUAUUUCUCUGAUGAAAAUCUAUGUUGGGGUAUGUAAACAAUAAUUCAUGGAUAUCGUCCAAGUUUAACGAGAGUGCGAAAAUGGGAGACUAACGAGAAAACCCAAUUAUCACCGAAGCCUGCAAAGGAUUGUGGGUCUGAAUCUGACUAUUAUCUAUUUUUAGAGCUUUCUAUCUGUUGUAUAUAUAUAUAUAUAUAUAUAUAUCUGUGAAAAUGCAAAGAAGUCGUUGGAUUACCAAAGAUCAACAUUUCAUUUGAUUACCAGUGAUCAUCAAUUCAGUGGAUUUCUGAGAUUCUCAGUAUGAAAAAUUUGAUGACAAGAAAAUUAUUAAACUGGCAAAAAUUGGAUCUUACAGCAAGGAUUUACUCAUUUCAGAAGACAGCAAUAGAAAAUGUAGGAGUUGCAUGUAAUACUGGAGGUUUCUUGCGUCAUGUUUUGUACUGUUUAAGUGACGUUUCUUAGACUGUUUAAGUGAUGUCCCGCAUUCAAUCAGUUAAGAAAAUGAUGAAAGCAAAUUAAAAUCUAGGAGAGACCUAGUCAAGUAUUAUAUAAUAAUGUUUUAACUUUUAGUGCUAAAUUCAAAGAGGUGUCUCAUGUUACACUGUUUUAAAAAAAGGAAUCUUAAGUCAAGUGUUAUUGCCAAAGCUCAUUGCAUUCCAGUAACUACAAUGAUAUAUCUAAAGAAGUGUGUCUAAACAAUACAAAAACAAUUAAACUGUAAGGAAAAUACUUUGUUUCAUAUGCAAUCAUGCUUUUUAUUAAAUUUAAUAGUUUGCUUA